UGAAUCUCGCUAGAUCGAAACUGUGGCGCCUCCUCCUCAUCUCACCGAAAAAGAAACAGCACCCACAGUCUGCAUACCAUCGCCGCCGGUUGCAGUGCCGUACCCGGCCUCUCCGCAAAUCCAACGCUGCUCCAUGUCCAUGCCGUGGUGAUCUUCACCAACUCCGGCCAGGCCACCAGUGCUGCGGGAUCAAAGGUCCUGCCCACCAGCGGCCAGCAUACGAGGACGUCGCCAAGUACCAUCUGUCCAGGAAGAAGCAAGCAGGUUCUUGGUGAUGAGAGUGGAACUGUGAGGACCAUGAUCUCCUCUGUUGAUCUCUGCACUUUGGCAGAAGCAGCGAUUUCAGGGGAGCAACAGUUCAGUCUUCAGAAACCGCAGUUAUUUUUCUUCUAGGGCAGCUUAGUUAAGCAGAUGGAAUUUGAGUAGAGUGCAAGAUUGAUGGGAUGAUCAACACCAAGACAACCUUUGCUGCAGUGCUACAUAACUUGUUAAAUUUUGAUGUAUUCAAACUAGUUGGUGUAGCUGGUGUGUGUCGGAUACUUAUGCGUUUCAGUUGUGCGUGUGUUAUCGACUAAUUUUAUCAUUGGAUGGUUUCAUUAAUGAUUUCUACGA